GUACCGUGCAUUGUUACUGCCGUAGUAGAAGAUUAUUUAAGAACAAAGUUGAAGUGAUGAAUUACUGACUAAAUACUUUGUCAUUUAGGUUGCAGUACUUUGCACGGGGCCUUCAGGUUUAUAUCAGACAACUUCGAUUGGCUCUCCAGGGUAAAACAGGCGAGGCCUUAAAAACAGAGGAGGUAAGAAUGCUGAUGACGACACAGAAGUUGUCAGUUCCAGUGACUGACUCUGUGGUCCUUGCUGGGAUUUGGUUCCCCUUGAGUUUUCAUAAUAAAACCACUCUUAAUGAAUAAACCUUUUCAGUUUUCAUUACAAAUUCCUGUAGUUUAUACUGGUAUCCUUUAACUUUAUAUAUAACGUUCUUUUAUUACUUCAUGUUGUAUUUCUCAGGUAAAUUGUAGUUCAGCCUGCCAAAGAAGCAUGGCUGGUUUGCAUAGGAUAGAGACAUAGGAAAAAAAAACCAUAAAUUUAAACCUCUACUUAGAAAUUUCUACCUGUAGAUGUGAAUUUGGUUCCAUGCAGAAUGGUAUGGGUGCACAGAAAUUAUUGAAUUUUAAUUUUGUAUUCCCUUUACAGAACAAGAUAAAAGUUGUUGCAUUGAAAAUAACAAACAAUAUCAAUGUUUUAAUCAAGGAUCUCUUUCACAUUCCUCCUUCUUAUAAGAGCACGGUAACAUUGUCCUGGAAACCUGUACAGAAAGUUGAGAUUGG
rnacentral:lncRNA from 1 species